GACGAACGCUGGCGGCGGGCUUAACACAUGCAAGUCGAACGAAAAGGCCCUGCCUUGGGGCGGUGGUCGGGGUGCGAACGGGGGAUUAACACGUGUGUAACCAGCCCUUGACGGUGGGAGAACGUCAUGAAACUGGGGCUAAUACCGGAUAGGAGCUCCUGCUGCAGGGUGGGGGUGGGAAAGUUUCGGCGGUUGGGGAUGGACUCGCGGCUUAUCAGAUUGUUGGUGGGGUAGUGUCUUACCAAGGCUUGGACGGGUAGCCGGGCUGAGAGGGUGACCGGACCAAUUGGGACUGAGCUACGGCACAGACUCGUACGGGACGCAGGGGUGGGGAAUAUUGCCCAAUGGGAGGAAGCCUGCUGCAGCCACGCCGCGUGCGGGAUGACGGCCAUCGGGUUGUAAACCGCUUUCGCCUGAGACGAAGAGUGAGUGACGGUAAUGGGUAAAGAAGCACCGGCUAACUCCGUG
rnacentral:rRNA from 1 species